rnacentral:sRNA from 1 species
GCAGCUCGCGCCCGCGCCCUCCUCGUACCCGUGCGCCCCCGGAGACCGAUCCCGCCCCGCGGCCCAGGCCGGGCCUGGUGAGAGCCGCGGGGGGAGGGGCCGCGUCCGGCUCCGGAACCGGGAGAGGCGCCGAGGGGUGUGGGGUGAGGGCCGCCCGUGGGGUCCCGGCGAGUCGGCGAGCCGCUCUGGCCCGGGGCGCACAGGCUCGAGUCCUCGUUUCAGGGCCGGCCCCCGGCUGGGCGGAGCCGAGACCCGCUGGCUGGGCUCGCGGCGUCGGGGUCUGGGGUCGGGUCCGUGCGGGGCCAGGUCGGGGGCCGAGGGGCGGGGCGGGCGGGGACCGCGGGCGCUGUCCAGGGGCUGCGCAGCCUAGGCCAGGACGCCCUGGCGCGGCGCAGGGCAGCGAGGGCCGGAGUCAGGUCGGGGCAGCGGCUUCUCAUAGAGGCCCCGCCGGCCCCGACCUCCCCUCACCCCAAGCGGGGUCCCAGCCCGCGGGGCGCACACGGCGGCUGCGCGGGAGCCCCCGGCCCCUCCGCUCCCGCUAACUUUGUUCUUCCGAGGGACGGUGCCACUCGGGACCCCGGCCCCCGGGGAGCAGGGGUGGGGGAGGUGGGUGAGGGGCGGAAGUGGCAAGACCAAGAGCAACAGGAAAUGACUUAGGGAAAGUCCCAACCGCAAUCCCCCUAGCCCCUGCCUGUCAACACCCCCCACCCUGCAGGCUGGGGCCGGGCUGGCGGGGCCCUCCCGACUGACUUCCCCUUGCAGAACCCAGCGGGUGCCGCGUCUCCACCCGAGGCUUCCACCUCCAACGAGCCAUGUUCCAGGCUGCAGGAGCCGCCCAGGCCACCCCCUCUCAUGACGCCAAAGGCGGCGGCAGCAGCACGGUGCAGCGCUCCAAGGUAGGGGCCUGGGGCCGGGUGUGCGGGAGGAGGGGUGUGAGGGAGCGGGAUGGGCACUGGGGCAGCACCUGGCUGAGCAUCCCGCACAGUCCUUUAGCCUGCGGGCCCAGGUGAAGGAGACCUGCGCCGCCUGCCAGAAGACCGUGUACCCCAUGGAGCGGCUGGUGGCCGACAAGCUCAUUUUCCACAACUCUUGCUUCUGCUGCAAGCACUGUCACACCAAGCUCAGCCUGGGCAGCUAUGCCGCGCUGCACGGGGAGUUCUACUGCAAACCCCACUUCCAGCAGCUGUUUAAGAGCAAAGGCAACUACGACGAGGGGUUUGGCCGCAAGCAGCACAAGGAGCUCUGGGCCCACAAGGAGGUGGACCCCGGCACCAAGACGGCCUGAGGCCUCUGUAACCUUCCACCCCCUCUGCGGAGGGCCUGGAGCCGGCAGGGGGAAGGUGGGAAGGAGGUUGAGCUGGGCUUGCGUGGGGGCCAGGUGGGAAGGAGAUGAGGCUUGCUCAGGCGUAGGGGCCCAGAGCAGGGCUCUGCUCCAGGACUCCUUCCUUCUUCCUUCUCCCGCAGCCGGUGAGGGUUUGGGAACCAGGAUUGGGGUCUGCCCACCACCCUGCUUCCUGCUUCGUUCAGCCGCCCUCCCCACCUCACCCCAGGACCCCCUGGGAGGCCCCCAAGCCCAGCUUCCCUAUCUAGGUGCCUUUUCUCCAGCAAGGAGUCAGCAUGCCCCGCUCAGGGUCCCAAGCUCCUUCACUGCCACCGGAGACUGUGUGGCCCCCACAUCUCCCCAUCUACCUCUACCCUUAACCUGGUUCUGAGCCACGGAGACAGGGAGGAAGGAGCGCGACAGUGCCACCUGUUGGGCCUCAUAAAUGCCCCUGCAGCCCAUGGGGGAGGGGAUGGGGAAGCGGAGCCACCCUGCCUCUGCAGGGCAAGGCAGGGCCUGCCCCAGUGGGGCUUGGGACCAUCUCGAACCACCAGCGUCGAGAAGCAGAAGCAAAAGCACUCGCCAGGCUGCAGCCUCAGGCACUGGCAGGGGCUGGUGCGGCCCCACUCCCCUCCCCCGCUCCCAUUUCUGCCCAUCCUGUUGUGACCAACCCCGUUUUAAACAUGUUUCAAUAGAUCCA